rnacentral:rRNA from 1 species
GUCUACAGCCAUGCCACCCUGAACAAGCCCAAUCUCGUCCGAUCUCGGAAGCUAAGUAGGGUCAGGCCUGGUUAGUACUUGGAUGGGAGACCACCUAGGAAGACCAGGCGCUGUAGGCA